UGAGCCUGACUGCCUCAAACACGAUGCCUCAUGGAAAUUCCUUAAUACAGAACUCCCGCUUGCAUCCCACCGUCUCGGGCUCCACGCUGUUAUAUUAUGCAUGCUGUGUUUUAUUGACUGGUAAUGACACUCGAAGGGUGGCGUCAGACGUGCGCAGAUCAGUGUUGGCUUGGCGUUUCCUGGAUGAUGUGAUUUGUAGAUGACCCCGAGCUGAACUCUUUAAAGGCGACGACGGCGCUGGACAAGUGAUGAGGGUCCAGGCUCUGAGGCUGCAACGUCAUGACGCAUCCAUCUCCAUGCUUCAGCUUCUGGUGUUGGUAAUGGUGGAAGGUCCUCACAAAAGAGAGAGGACCUCCUCUAUCCUCACCUUUGAGAGCUUUAAGGCCUAUUUUUAAAUAUUCAGCGGACACGGAUGAAGUUUAAAGGGGUCUUUUUAAGGUCUGUAGUAUCUUCUCUUCGUCUGUGGUUGGGUCUCUUAAUGCUUUGUUGUUGUUUGACUUUAUUCUAGAUCUGUAUUUGAGUUCAUUGUAUUUCUCUUUUUUUGUAUUUUAGUUUUGUUUGUUUGUUUGUUUGUUUGUUGGUUUGUUUGUUUGUUUGUUAAGGACCUCCUGGUAUAUGAUCCUUCUCUUGUGAAGUGCAUUUUUAAGAGGUGAUUUAAUCUGCAGUCAUGGCUUCAGCACUCAUCUCUGACAAGCUCAGCUCACACCUCGAGAGAGUUUCACCAAAAUAAAUGUAUGAAUUAAGUUAAAUUCUGCUGGCUUUUACUGGCUCUUUUAUAUCAAACACACACACACACACACACACACACACACACACACACACACGGACUGGUGGACUAGUACCUCGUCUAGUCUCCGCUGUGGAGAUGUGGACUAGCGAGUAAAUAAAUAAAGCAGCUCCGUUUACUGUGAUUAUUAUUCUGAAAAUAUUUCACAGUAGAUGAAGCCGAUUCUACACUCAACCGCACAAGAGUACUCCGGGAGAAGUCUUUAUUUUAUUAUUCAUAUUAUUAGAGAGGUGAUCUGGCACGAGGAAUUCCUCCUGCGCUUAUUUCUGUCGUCCUUUACAGCUAAAUAAAAUGUAAAUAAAGCCCACACACGGUUACAGAGUGAACCCCGUCAUACGAGAAAGAGCGCCCUCGGAGCCGCGGGUUGCACAUCACGAUCCGAUCCCACUCGGUGAUCGUAGAGUCGGAUCGGCGGCGCACGGCGGCUCAGACAGAUCGGUUCGGAUUCGUUAUCGGACGCUACCGAGGCUGGAGGUUAACGUGGCGUUAAAACCCGAACAGACGCCGCUGUAGUCAUCACGUCCUCCAUCCGUCAUUCAGAUAUAUAAGGAGUUUCCACGCUGCGCUAAGCUCUCAGGUUCAGUAGCAGCGAGUUCAGCUCAGACAACUCGUCCACGCGAGCGUGUUUACAGAACUGUCCUUAAUUAGUCUAAUGUGAUACACAGAUUUAUUAUUUUGCACAUUUGAGCCCUUAAACUUACAUCUAUUUGUUUAUUUAUUUAUUUAUUUAUUAUUUUAGAAUCAAUUA